rnacentral:rRNA from 1 species
UAGGGAAUCUUCGGCAAUGGACGAAAGUCUGACCGAGCAACGCCGCGUGAGUGAAGAAGGUUUUCGGAUCGUAAAACUCUGUUGUUAGAGAAGAACAAGGACGUUAGUAACUGAACGUCCCCUGACGGUAUCUAACCAGAAAGCCACGGCUAACUACGUGCCAGCAGCCGCGGUAAUACGUAGGUGGCAAGCGUUGUCCGGAUUUAUUGGGCGUAAAGCGAGCGCAGGCGGUUUCUUAAGUCUGAUGUGAAAGCCCCGGCUCAACCGGGGAGGGUCAUUGGAAACUGGGAGGAUUGAGUGCAGAAGAGGAGAGUGGAAUUCCAUGUGUAGCGGUGAAAUGCGUAGAUAUAUGGAGGAACACCAGUAGCGAAGGCGGCUCUCUGGUCUGUAACUGACGCUGAGGCUCGAAAGCGUGGGGAGCAAACAGG